rnacentral:rRNA from 1 species
GACGAACGCUGGCGGCGUGCCUAAUACAUGCAAGUCGAACGCAGUGGGGACGGGUGAGUAACACGUGGGUCACCUCCCAUCAGAGGGGAUAACACUUGGAAACAGGUGCUAACACGAUACUGCUGGAUGGACCCGCGGGGCAUUCGCUAGUUGGUGCGGUAACGGCUCACCAAGGCCACGAUGCAUAGCCGACGUGAGAGGGUGAUCGGCCACACUGGGACUGAGACACGGCCCAGACUCCUACGGGAGGCAGCAGUGGGGAAUCUUCGGCAAUGGGCGAAAGUCUGACCGAGCAACGCCGCGUGAGUGAAGAAGGUUUUCGGAUCGUAAAGCACUGUUGUUAGAGAAGCGGUAUCUAACCAGAAAGCCACGGCUAACGACGUGCCAGCAGCCGCGGUAAUUC